AUACAAAUAAUUUAUUUUAUUAAAGAAUGAAGCAAGAGACUCAUAGAUGCUUUGUAGCAUUCUGCCAGACCUUCAAAGAAGAGCUGACAUUAAAAUUCCUGAAACUGCUCCAUGCCAUAGAAAAGGAAGGAACACAACCAGACUCAUCAUAUGGAGCCAGCAUUA